GACGAACGCUGGCGGCGUGCUUAACACAUGCAAGUCGAACGAUGAAACCUAGCUUGCUAGGUCGAUUAGUGGCGAACGGGUGAGUAACACGUGACUAACCUGCCCCUUUCUCUGGGAUAACGCUCCGAAAGGAGUGCUAAUACCGGAUACUCACAUCGAGGCACAUGCCUUGAUGUGGAAAGUUUUUCGGAAAGGGAUGGAGUCGCGGCCUAUCAGCUUGUUGGUGAGGUAACGGCUAACCAAGGCGACGACGGGUAGCCGGCCUGAGAGGGCGACCGGCCACACUUGGACUGAGACACGGCCCAGACUCCUACGGGAGGCAGCAGUGGGGAAUAUUGCACAAUGGGCGCAAGCCUGAUGCAGCGACGCCGCGUGAGGGAUGAAGGUCUUCGGAUUGUAAACCUCUUUCAGUAGGGACGAAGCGAAAGUGACGGUACCUAAAGAAGAAGCACCGGCUAACUACGUGCCAGCAGCCGCAGUAA
rnacentral:rRNA from 1 species